rnacentral:rRNA from 1 species
AGAAUCAACGCUGGCGGCGUGCCUAACACAUGCAAGUCGAACGAGAAAGUGGAGCAAUCCAUGAGUAAAGUGGCGCACGGGUGAGUAACACGUGACUAACCUACCUUUUAGUGGGGGAUAACCUAGGGAAACCUGGGCUAAUACCGCAUAAUACCUACGGGUCAAAGCAGCAAUGCGCUGGAAGAGGGGGUCGCGGUCGAUUAGUUAGUUGGCAGGGUAAUGGCCUACCAAGACUGUGAUCGAUAUCCGGCCUGAGAGGGCGCACGGACACACUGGAACUGAAACACGGUCCAGACUCCUACGGGAGGCAGCAGUGGGGAAUUUUGCGCAAUGGGGGAAACCCUGACGCAGCAACGCCGCGUGGAGGAUGAAGUCCCUUGGGACGUAAACUCCUUUCGAUCGGGACGAUAAUGACGGUACCGGAAGAAGAAGCCCGCUAACUUCGCGCCAGCAGGCCGC